UGCAUGUACCCAGCUAACGGUACUACGUCUAGCACAAAAUAUGAUCACGGGUUCCAUACCUCCGAUCCUUUCCAAAUUGUCCAAUUUAGUAGAGCUAACACUCAGUUCUAAUCAUCUCAGCGGUGAGAUUCCACCAGAAAUCUGCAGUUUAGCAAAUCUAUAUAAAAUGAACUUAUCAUCGAACCAAUUAUCUGGAUACAUACCUACACAAAUUAAAAAGCUGAGCAAUCUAGGAUACCUUGAUAUAUCUGGAAACAGAUUGAGUGGAUUGAUACCUGGGGAACUAGGGGCCUGUAUGAAACUACAGUUCUUGAAGAUCAACAACAACAGCUUCAGUGGGAGUUUGCCUGGUGCGGUUGGAAAUUUAGCAGGCCUGCAAAUCAUGUUAGAUGUGAGCAACAAUAACCUCAGUGGUGUGUUGCCGCAGCAACUUGGGAAGUUGGAGAUGCUAGAAUUUCUGAAUUUAUCACAUAAUCAGUUCAGUGGCAGCAUUCCAUCCUCCUUUGCAAGCAUGAUGAGCCUUUCAACACUUGAUGUGUCCUACAACGACUUGGAAGGACUGGUCCCAACCACACAGCUACUGCCAAAUGCUUCAGCAAGUUGGUUUCUUCCCAAUAAAGGUCUGUGUGGCAACCUCCCUGGCCUGCCACCUUGUUAUUCAACCCCAGUAGCUGCUCACAAAAAGGGGAAGAUACUUGGUUUGCUUUUGCCAAUUGUUCUUGUGAUGGGUUUCGUCAUUGUUGCUGCAAUUGUUGUCAUAAUAAUACUUACUCGUAAGGAAAGAAAACCACAAGAGAGUGUUACCGCUGAAGCAAGGGACCUAUUCUCUGUUUGGAAUUUUGAUGGAAGAUUAGCAUUUGACGAUAUUGUAAGGGCCACAGAAGACUUUGAUGAUAAGUAGAUCAUUGGAACAGGAGGAUACGGCAAAGUCUACAAGGCACAACUCCAAGAUGGGCAGCUAGUUGCUGUGAAGAAGCCUCAUCAGACCGAAGAGUUGGAUGAUGAAAGAAGAUUUUGUAGUGAAAUGGAAAUCUUAACACAGAUCCGACAACGAAGCAUUGUCAAAAUGUAUGGAUUCUGCUCCCAUCCAGUGUAUAAAUUUCUAGAACGACUACAUUCAGCAGGGAAGCCUCCACGGAAUAUUGGAAAAUGAGGAGCUAGCAAAGGAAUUAGAUUGGAAGAAGAGAAUUGCUCUUGCAACUGAUGUGGCUCAAGCAAUAUCUUAUUUGCACCACGAAUGCAGUCCACCUAUAAUCCAUCGAGAUAUCACAAGCAACAACAUCUUACUUGAUACAUCCUUCAAGGCUUUUGUCUCGGAUUUCGGCACGGCAAGGAUUCUUAAGCCCGAUUCGACAAACUGGAGUGCACUAGCAGGAACGUUUGGCUACAUAGCUCUUGGUAUGUACUAGUAUAACCAUGUUUUUCACAUCAGAAGCCUUCGUCUCUAUCCAUUUGUUCCUAAUUCUAAUGUUUUCGACGUUUUUGUGCAGAACUGUCGUACACAUCUGUUGCGACAGAGAAAUGUGAUGUUUAUAGCUUUGGGGUGGUUGUGUUAGAGCUAGUGAUGGGAAGCAUCCAAGGGAUUUAUUAGAUGGUAGUCUUUCUAACGGCGAACAAUCAAUGAUGGUGAAAGAUAUUCUGGACCAACGGCCAACGGCGCCAAUAUCAACUGAAGAGAAUAGCUUAGCUCUGCUCAUCAAGCUGGCCUUAUCUUGUUUGGAAUCUUCUCCCCAAGGAAGGCCAACCAUGCAGGAGGCAUACCAAACACUCAUCCAGCCAUCUUCUAGUUCAACUACCGUGCCUUUCAGUGCACUUACAUUACAGCAAGGGAUGCAUGUUGACACAAGGUCUGAAUCCUAGUGAGAAACCAGGGUCUACCGAAGCAGAGGUCGAUUCAAAUUUCUGACUUUUUUUACUCAAGUCACUCAUACACCACCUAUAUAUACCUCUUGUAUGCCAUAUGACAUGACAUGCCCCACAGGAUGAGUUGACGACUCAUUGUAAGUCUAUAUAUUUGUAGACUAUUCUGAUACAACAAAGAUCACUGUUGUGCGCCCGUGGCUUUUCCCGCAAGGGUUUUCCACGUAAAAAUGUGUCUAGUCCUGAUAUUUCUCUGUUUGUUCGCUUGCUGAUUUCUUACAAUGCAUAAAUAACAGUUGGUUUGCGGGUUGCUUAUAUUUGUUAAAGACUAUACUGUAGACAUAGUAUCCACAUGUGACACUUUCUUUUGGCUGUUGUCUGCAGGGUACUUGAAAUGUGUCAUAAUAUUUGUCCCUUUUUAUCUACUAUUGCUCCCACGAACAUAAAUGUAGUCCUGCUUUAUUUAUUCCAUAUGGGAAUCAAGAUCAAAUAUCUUAGACCAAGGAGGAACAAUCACAAUGCAUAAACAGGAAGAAAUGAAUGUAAGCACAUUGGAGAGUAGAUGCAUAAAAAAAGAGAAGUAGCACAAUAUACUCAGUAAAAGGACUUACAGAGGGUUGUAGGGCAGAAGUAUGCAGUCCUUUUCCUUAUUAUUGCUUCCAUGAACCUGAAGGUGAAAAAAUGGAAUCCAAAACUGACACGUUAGCAUGUCAUCCCGCUUUAUUGUCCUCUGGGUAUCAAAGUAAAAUACCUUGUACCAAGCAGGAACGAUCACAAUGAUCAAGUGUUCGAUGCAUAAAUGGAACAAAUGAAUGUGAACACGCAGAUAUAGGUGCAUAAAACAAGAAAAGUACAACAGUACUAGGUAAAAAGAGCUUACGGAGGAUUGUAGGGCACGCAUAUGUAGUCCUUGUCCUUAGGAUGGAGCAUAAGUAGUCCUUGUCCUUGGGAAGCAAUAGAUAAUUUACUGCUACACUUAAUUUCAAGCACUGAUUGGCGAGAUUUUCAUGGAACAAAGAUACUGCUGGAAUUUAGUCUAUAUUGGGGCAGCCCAAUAACUAUUUCAGAAAUUCCUAAUAAAUCCUAGAGGCCCACUUAGCCUAUUUGUGCAAGGCAAGGGAUACUACUAAAGUUUAGUCCCACAUUGCUAGUUUAGAGGGAGUUGGACCUCCUUAUAAGGGAGGCUCCUUCCCCACUUGUAUGAGCAUGAGAACAAGAGGGACAUCCACGCGUGCUCCUCCUCCGCCGCCCGCCUCGCCGAUGUCUAAAUUUUUGCCACGCACGACGGGUAUACAAACGGUCACACGGGAGCUGAAACGUUUUGCUGUAGUGGAGUGUGAAUACGAACGAACGGCGCGCACCUCUUCGCGUGUUGCCUGUUCGUUUCGUCUCCCUCCAUUGCUUCACCUCCCGCCGCAGCCUGUUCGCCUCCUUUUCUUGCGCCUAUAAAAGGGAGGUCGCUCCUCUCAGAGAGACGCACCAGAACUUCUCCUUCCUCUCGCCACCGGUUCCAUUCCCUGAGCUACCGCUGUCUUCCUCAUCCCGGCUUGCGGCGUGCACCGCGAGUCGGGACAGUAGGCCUCCGAAACCGCACUCUUUGAGUCCUGUACGGGAGAAGGGUGAUAAGGUUUUUGGGGAGCGCUCUGCGCGACUACUGGCUGCUUCAUCACGGACGAUCCGGUCGCCGACGACUACUUCCCCGAUGUCCACGAUCUCCUCGACGACAUGGCAGGCGAGGACACCGACCCCAAGUCCAGCGCUUCUGCUGCUGCUGUGCCGUACGUGUUCUUCUCCUUCCUGUUAGAAGUCCUACUACAGUUCCCGGCUCUAGUUUCUGUCCUACAUAUGUUAGGUUCUAUGUCGUAUAAGCAACUUCAUCUAGUGUCUGUUCUAGAUGUGUUUAGCUCAAACUCAUAUAUGCAGACGAUGUUUACCUUAUCUCUUAUGCAUCUUGAUCUACUGUCUGCUCUAGAGAUGAUCGGUUCUAGAUUAUAUAUGCAGAUGUUGUUUACCUUCUCUUUGUCAAAUCGCAUGACUUGCUUUAUCACUGUUAUAUUAGUCAUGCUUUAUCUACUAUUUCUGUUAAUAAAAUCAUUUGGUAAAUUGCUCAUAUUUCCAACAAUCCAAAAACCUUAUUUUAGGCAAUUUACCUCGAAUGGUUUUGCUGCUUCCAUGAGACCUCCUAUGUUUGAGGGUAUCCACUAUAAGAGGUGGCGCGUGAGAGCAGUCUUAUGGUUUCAAACCAUGAGUUGCUAUGACGCCACUCUUGGCAAACCUGAAGGAGAUCAAGAUGCCCAACAGGCACAAGCUUUUCAGAAAAUGGAUACCUUGUUUAAGGCUGCUCUCUUGAGUGUUCUUGGUGAGAACAUAGUUGAUGCUUAUGAGUCAAUUGACAAUGGAAAAGAUAUGUGGGACGCACUCGAGGCCAAGUUUGGGGUCUCGAAUGCCGGCACUGAGAUGUACAUCAUGGAGCAAUUCUAUGAUUACAGGAUGACUGAAGAGCGCUCCAUGGUUGAGCAGGCUCACGAGAUACAGUCAUUUGCUAGAGAACUUGAGCACUUCAAUUGUAUCCUGCCGGACAAGUUUGUUGCCGGGGGUAUCAUCACUAAGCUUCCUCCUUCGUGGAGGAACUUUGCUACCUUGCUGAAGCAUAAGAGGCAGGAGUUUUCCGUCCCGGAUCUCAUUGGCACUCUUGAUGUGGGAGAAAAGGCGAGAGCAAAGGACACACGUGCUCGAGGUAUUGAGGGAGGAUCUAGUGCCAAUCUGGUACAGAAGAAAAACUUCCAGUCCCACAAGUUCAAGAACAAGGGCAAGUUUGAUGGGAAGAACAAGGCUGUGCAGCACACGAACUUCAAGAAGAAGAAUGACAAGAAGAAAGAUGCUUGUCAUGUGUGUGGAGAUCCUGAUCAUUGGGCUCCUAGUUGCCCCAAUCGCUAUGACAAGCGUCAUCCUGGGAAAGGCGGCAAGACCGCUAAUGUUGUUAUCGGAGACAUUGACAUGAAGGAUGUUGGGUAUGGUAUAUUUCCCACUAUUCUUUCAGUAUGUCAUUCUCCUGAUUGGUUGAUUGACACAGGUGCUAAUGUGCAUGUAUGCGGUGAUAUUUCCAUGUUUUCGUCUUAUCAGACCGCAGGGACUUCAACCAUGCUGAUGGGCAACGGUUCAAGUGCUUCUGUUCGUGGUGUUGGCACGGUCGAUCUGAAGUUUACUUCGGGGAAGAUCGUGCGGCUGAAGAAUGUGCAUUAUGUCCCCUCCGUCAAUAAAAAUCUUGUUAGCGGAUCUCUUCUGUGUAGAGAUGUCUACAAGCUUGUCUUUGAGUCGAAUAAAUUUGUAAUAUCCAAGUAUGGAACCUUUGUUGGUAAAGGCUAUGAGUCAGGAGGCCUGUUUCGUUUAUCCUUAUCAGAUGUUUGCAAUAAAGUUGUUAAUCAUAUUUGCAACAAUAGUGAAUCAAAUGUGUGGCAUUCACGACUUUGUCAUGUUAACUUUGGUUGCAUGUCGCGACUAGCGAAGUUGAACUUAAUCCCUAGUUUUACCACCGUUAAGGGAUCUAAGUGUCAAGUGUGUGUGUGCAAGCUAAGCAACCUCGUAAAUCUCACCUGACUGCGGAGACGAGAAAUCUUGCACCACUAGAACUUAUACAUUCAGAUCUAUGUGAAAUGAAUGGUGUUUAGACAAAAGGUGGAAAGAAAUAUUUCAUGACGUUAAUUGACGACUCCACUAGAUACUGCUGUGUGUAUCUUCUGAAAUCUAAGGAUGAGGCUUUGAACUUUUUCAAGAUCUAUAAAGCUGAAGUGGAAAACCAACUUGAUCGAAAAAUCAAGAGGCUUAGGUCCGACCGUGGUGGAGAGUAUUUUUCCAAUGAAUUUGAUGCUUUUUGUGUGGAACAUGGUAUAAUCCAUGAGAGGACGCCUCCCUACUCACCUCAGUCAAAUGGGGUGGUCGAAAGAAAGAACCGUACUCUAACUGAUUUGGUUAACGUCAUGUUAGACACAUCGGGUCUCUCCAAGGCAUGGUGGGGGGAGGCGAUAUUGACAGCAUGUCAUGUCCUAAAUCGAGUCCCCACAAAGAACAAAGAGAUAACUCCAUUCGAGGAAUGGGAGAAGAAAAGGUUAAAACUCUCUUAUCUGCGAACAUGGGGUUGUUUGGCGAAAGUCAAUGUUCCAAUUCCAAAGAAGCGGAAGCUUGGACCAAAGACUGUGGAUUGUGUUUUCCUGGGAUAUGCUUUUCAUAGCAUUGGCUAUAGAUUCUUGGUUGUAAAAUCUGAGGUACCGGACAUGCACGUUGGUACGAUCAUGGAGUCGAAUGAUGCGACUUUCUUUGAAGAUAUCUUUCCCAUGAAGGAUAUGGCUACCUCAUCUAAUCAGGAGAUGCCUAGUUCAUCGAAUCAGGAACCAGUUACAAUUACUGAACCUGCCAUUUCGAUGGAACACUUUGAAAGUCAUGUGGAGGAGAACAAUGAAGUUCCUACUAGGAGCAAGAGAUAGAGGACUGCAAAGUCCUUUGGUGAUGAUUUUCUUGUGUAUCUCAUAGAUGACACUCCCAGUUCUAUUUCAGAGGCCCAUGCAUCUGAAGAUGCUGACUACUGGAAGGAAGCAGUUCGUAGCGAGAUGGAUUCCAUCUUGGCAAAUGAAACUUGGGAGAUAACUGAUCGUCCUUAUGGGUGCAAACCUAUAGGAUGCAAAUGGGUAUUCAAGAAGAAGCUUAGGCCUGAUGGUACUUUUGAAAAGUACAAGGCUCGGCUUGUGGCUAAGGGUUAUAUCCAAAAUGAAGGUGAAGACUUCUUUGAUACUUACUCACCUGUGGCUCGACUGACCACUAUUCGAGUUCUACUUUCACUAGCUGCCUCACAUGGUCUUCUCGUUCAUCAAAUGGAUGUUAAGACUGCUUUCCUAAAUGGAGAGUUGGAUGAGGAAAUUUAUAUGGAACAACCAGAUGGGUUUGUAAUAGAUGGUCAGGAAGGGAAAGUGUGCAAGUUGCUGAAGUCUUUGUAUGGACUCAAGCAAGCACCCAAACAGUGGCACAAGAAGUUCGAAAGAACUUUAACAGCUGCAGGCUUUGUUGUGAACGAAGCUGACAAAUGUGUGUACUAUCGCCAUGGUGGGGGCGAGGGAGUUAUGCUUUGCUUGUAUGUUGAUGACAUACUGAUUUUCGGAACAAAUCUGAAUGUUAUUAAGGAGGUCAAGGAUUUCCUAUCUCGUUGUUUUGAGAUGAAGGAUUUAGGAGUGGCUGAUGUCAUUCUGAACAUCAAGUUGUUGAGAGACGUUGAUGGUGGGAUUAUAUUGCUUCAAUCUCACUAUGUGGAAAAGAUCUUGAGUCGCUUUGGCUACAGUGACUGCAAGCCCUCUCCAACACCAUAUGAUGCUAGCGUGCUGCUUCGAAAGAAUCGAAGAAUUGCUAGAGAUCAAUUGAAGUAUUCUCAGAUUAUUGGCUCGCUUAUGUACUUAGCCAGUGCUACAAGACCUGACAUCUCUUUUGCUGUUAGCAAGCUGAGCAGGUUUGUCUCAAAACCAGGAGAUGUGCAUUGGAAAGCUCUAGAGAGAGUUUUGCGUUAUUUGAAAGGCACUAUAAAUUAUGAAAUUCACUACACUGGGCACCCAAAGGUGCUUGAAGGGUAUAGUGACUCAAACUAGAUCUCAGAUGCUGAUGAGAUAAAGGCCACGAGAGGAUAUGUGUUCACUCGUGGAGGUGGCGCUGUUUCUUGGAAGUCUUGCAAGCAGACCAUCUUAACGAGGUCAACUAUGGAAGGAGAACUCACAGCACUAGAUACAGCUACGGUCGAAGCAGAUUGGCUUCGCCGGCUCUUGAAUGACUUGCCGGUUGUUGAGAAACAUGUACCGGGUAUCCUUAUGAACUGUGACAAUCAAACUAUGAUCACGAAAGUGAACAGCUCUAAGGAUAACAUGAAGUCAUCAAGACACGUUCAGAGAAGGUUAAAGUCUGUCAGGAAAAUGAAAAACUCUGGAGUUAUUGCGUUGGAUUAUAUCCAAACGUCUAAAAAUCUGGCAGAUCCUUUUACUAAGGGUUUAUCACGUAAUGUGAUAGAUAAUGCAUCGAGGGAGAUGGGUAUGAGACCCACAAUAUGAGUUGUUCACAGUGGUAACCUAUUCUUUGUGAUCGGAGAUCCCAUGAAUUAGAUGUGGAAGACAAGCUGUUGGUCAACUGGGAGGAGAGUAUCCUUACUAUUAAAAUACCACUCCAUGAAGAUGCAAUACUCUCCUAAUCUGCAUGGCAGGCUGAUGUAUAUCUUAAUGUGUUCUAAGUGGCUCUUUGAAGUAGAGAUGUUGUCCUGCAGAACAUCUUUUGAAGAACAUACCUAUAUGAGUCUGAUUGUCAAACGUCGCAAUCUAUGAGAGUAGGGUUCUCUCUAGUAAACUCAUGAAAGGUCACGGAGUAUGACGCAUAAGCUCCACCCGCAGGGAAGACCCAUGGUAGCCACGUAUCGGUCAAGGCUUUAUGUGAAGCUAGAUUCGCAAAAAACUUGCAGUUCAAGGCCCAGUCCACUGUUCAAGUUGCUUACUAGUGUAGCAUAGAGUUCUAGGUGGAAGUUCAACUUAACAGUCUCCACUGCAGUACCGGUAUAUAAAACAGUGUUUUGGAACCAAAGGCAAAUUUCUGUGUGCCUCUGGGAUCUGGUGGCGGAUUGCUGGAAUUUAGUCUAUAUUGGGGCAGCCCAAUAACUAUUUCAGAAAUUCCUAAUAAAUCCUAGAGGCCCACUUAGCCCAUUUGUGCAAGGCAAGGGAUACUACUAAAGUUUAGUCCCACAUUGCUAGUUUAGAGGGAGUUGGACCUCCUUAUAAGGGAGGCUCCUUCCCCACUUGUAUGAGCAUGAGAACAAGAGGGACAUCCACGCGCGCUCCUCCUCCGCCGCCCGCCUCGUCACGCCGCGCCGCGGGUUGCGGGAAUGAGCCGAGCCGAUGUCUAAAUUUUUUCCACGCACGACGGGUAUACAAACGGUCACACGGGAGCUGAAACGUUUUGCUGUAGUGGAGCGUGAAUACGAACGAACGGCGCGCACCUCUUCGCGUGCUGCCUAUUCGUUUCGUCUCCCUCCAUUGCUUCACCUCCCGCCGCAGCCUGUUCGCCUCCUUCUCUUGCGCCUAUAAAAGGGAGGUCGCUCCUCUCAGAGAGACGCACCAGAACUUCUCCUUCCUCUCGCCACCGGUUCCAUUCCCUGAGCUACCGCUGUCUUCCUCAUCCCGGCUUGCGGCGUGCACCGCGAGUCGGGACAGUAGGCCUCCGAAACCGCACUCUUUGAGUCCUGUACGGGAGAAGGGUGAUAAGGUUUUUGGGGAGCGCUCUGCGCGACUACUGGCUGCUUCAUCACGGACGAUCCGGUCGCCGACGACUACUUCCCCGACGUCCACGAUCUCCUCGACGACAUGGCAGGCGAGGACACCGACCCCAAGUCUAGCGCUUCUGCUGCUGCUGUGCCGUACGUGUUCUUCUCCUUCCUGUUAGAAGUCCUACUACAGUUCUCGGCUCUAGUUUCUGCCCUACAUAUGUUAGGUUCUAUGUCGUAUAAGCAACUUCAUCUAGUGUCUGUUCUAGAUGUGUUUAGCUCAAACUCAUAUAUGCAGACGAUGUUUACCUUAUCUCUUAUGCAUCUUGAUCUACUGUCUGCUCUAGAGAUGAUCAGUUCUAGAUUAUAUAUGCCGAUGUUGUUUACCUUCUCUUUGUCAAAUCGCAUGACUUGCUUUAUCACUGUUAUAUUAGUCAUGCUUUAUCUACUAUUUCUGUUAAUAAAAUCAUUUGGUAAAUUGCUCAUAUUUCCAACAGAUAAAACCUUCUUUUUCUUCAUGCAUAAUACAAACUUAACAAAGUAUGAGACGAGAUGGUAGGAAAAAGGCAUGACUGACAGCCUGAGAACCAGCAAUGUCCCAUAAUUUCAUUAUCAGAAAAUCAGAUACGAAUUCAACUCAACAAAGACAUACUAGCCACAGGAUGUGCAACCAUAUAGAGAACACUUCCUUUAUCACUCACUACUAGUCCAACACAAUGGGGAAGAGACAUUUCAUCGUUCGACAAACCGCUAUAUAUGGUAUAUGAGGAAAGAUGAAUUUGUCAGUGCAUAAACAAAGCAUCGACUAUUUACGACGAGAUCAAACCUAUAACGCAGCUUUUUCGGUUAGUUUUCAGGUAGAAUUGAUGCGUGCGGCACUUAAGACAGUCCCAGUUCAUCCUCCUGCGCCAUCAGACAAAAGUAGCACAGCAAAUUAGUCUACAGGCUGACAAGUGUAGACAAUCAGGGGGAAUCAAUCAAGCAAAUUAAAGUAUGUUUCGUUUGAGAUGUUCAACAGAGAUUUCAAAGUUCAAGGUCAAAUCCAUUAUACAACAGAUGUUUGGCAUGAAAAUGGUUUUUAUGUUCCCCUUCUGUGUGUUUCUUUUACUAGUAAGAUCAAGAUAGGAUAAGCUCAAUUGUUCACACCAACAAUGUAGAUAUGUAGAAUGAAAUUAAGACUGAACUUCACGAUUUAUGGGUUAAGAAAUACCUUUCAAUUAGAUCAUAUGACAAGAUAAAAGACACCUUUUUAUAGCUUCAAGCACUCUGAUUGCAUGGGAAAAUGACACGAGUCACCGAUUUCUUCCUUGGGAUAUCAGCACCAUAAUGAAUGUGAAUAGAAACUAGUCAGUCUCGCAAUUGACAUACCUGUUGCUGGUUUGCCGGGACUGCUGCAUGACCACUUGGUGCAGCAGGAUAGUUAAGCUCAGAAUAAAGAUCAGUCGCCUUGUGUGGUUGGAGGUACGAUGGGACUGAGUUGAUUCGAAGUCCAUAUCAGCUUCCAAAGCAUCAAGUUCUGCAUUUUUCAACCUAAAAACUGAGAACAUCAUACAGAGAACUGUCUUGUCUCUAAAUUAACAUGUGCGUGACAGAAAACUACUGAAGUUUUGCAAAAGUGCCAAAGAAAUUUUCAGAAGAAAUCUAAGACUGAUAUAAAUUGGAGAGUUUGCUGGACCAGACUCAACUAUGAAAUUCAAAUAGAAGUGGCUCCUCCUCAUAGAUGUCAUGUGGGACCUUGCUGACAUCCAUAAGAUCCAUCAUCUCGUCUUACAUUGCUCACGUCCAUAUAUCUUGAAAACAAUCUAGUAAACAACAGGAUGCUGCAUACAUCCAUGUCUUCAAUCCUCACAGUCUUCAUCAUCCUUUUCAGCUCUUCAUUUGCAGCCUUCGUUGCAGGUAUCUGUUGAAUGAAAGACACUUCAACAUAAGCCUGGGAGCAAGAAUCAGAAUCUAUCAUGAACUUGGUAGGAAACUAAGGCAAUAUACAGAUUAUAUGAGCCUGGUGAAUGCGUGUACCCAGACACCGGAGCUGAUUGCAAGGCAACGCGUACCUUACUGAACCAACCAGAGCCACGGAACCAGACUAUGCCCGCCACCACUAGUAGAAAAAGGGUCAAACGUGCAGCACAUUAGUGCCGGUUUGUAUUAGAGCCGGCACUAAUGUAUACAUUAGUGCCGGUUCCAACGGCUAGCCGGACCGCUCUCAUUAGUACCGGUUCGUGUCUAACCUUUAGCACCGGUUCGUGCCACGAACCGGUACUACUGAAGGUGGUGGCAGGAUGUUGUUAGUCUGGGCCCCCUCCAGCACCUUUAGUACCGGUUCGUGCCACGAACCGGUACUAAAGGUGCACGUACAUAAACCCUUCGUCCACCCGAGCCACUCUGUUCUUCCCCUUUCCCCUCACUUCUCCUGUGUUCUUCCCCUUUCCCCUCACUUCUCCUGUGUUCUUCCCCUUUCCCCUCGAGCUCCUCACAAAUUUUACCCAAAAUUUGUCAAGAUUUGAAGGCCCCCAUCCAUUCAAAUGAUCACAAAGGUUAGCAACUUUGUCCUUUCAACUCUCAUUGCUAGAUUAGCUCUUCCCAUGCUUUGUAUAGUUACUAAUUUGUGAGUUUAGUAAUUUGGGAGGAAAUAUAUAUAUGUGCUAGUAUUUGAUUUAUAUGCAAUUUGAGGUCAAAAAUAACACUUAGUUUGCAUAUGUAGGUGUGGUUUACUUAGUGCCUUCUAAAUCUCCGUCGUAACCACCGUCGAUCGCCCGCACCGUCCCGUCACCGGCACCAUCUUGUGGUGAGCCUCUUGUUCAUGUAAUUUUAUAUAAAAAAUUGAUGUUUGUCUGAUUUGGAUAUAUAGUUAAUCAUGUAAUAAUUAUCUUACCCGUACGUUAUUUGUUAUACAUAGUGCCAUGGUUUUGAUAUCCGUCCCCGUCGGCCCUCGUCCUUGUUAUGAUUCGGAUGUGAUAUAUUCUCUUUUAAAACUAUUAGUUGCAUUUCGUGUUUAUGACAAAUUAUGCCCAUCAAGUUGACAUAGAUAUUUUUAUCUAGGAGGUAUGUGAACCGGAAAUUCCAACUGACCCUAUUGUCGAGAGGUUAAAUUUAGUUGAAAGAGAAAACGAGUACUUGAAAGAAAAAUUGAAAAGAAUUGAGGGGGAGAAGAUGGAAUUGGAGUUGCAUGUUGCCGAUGUCGUCGAUGAUCACAAGAUCAAGAUGGAGAAAAUGCGCUUGAAGAAUAGAAAGAUUAGAAAAUAUGCCAUCGAUAGUGAGGCUUGGUAUCAUUAUGCUGUUGGAUCAAUUGUUACCUUAGUUGCGACCUUGAUCGCAUUUGUUGUUGCAUUUAAAUGCUUUAGCUAGAGAGUUAUUUGUUUGUUGCAUUUAAGUGUUGUAUGAACUUUAUGUAUGAACUUUUGGUCUAUUCGGUGUUGUGCAAUGAAGAUGAGCCGGCAAUGGAUGUACGAUGACCGAUGCUCUCCCCAGUUCGUUGAGGGCGUGCAUACUUUUCUGCUUGCGGCUGAGGCAAACAAGCGGGCGGAUGGUUUUAUGCCUUGUCCAUGUGCUGUCUGUAAGAAUGAUCGCAAUUACUCUACGUCAAGAACCAUUCGCGUCCACCUGUUUGAGUCCGGUUUCAUGCCCCACUAUAAUGUUUGGACCAAGCACGGAGAAAGAGGGGGUUAUGAUGGAAGACAAUGAAGAAGAAGAGGACGACGACAGCUAUCCUGGCCAUGGGUUCCCUGAAUACGAUGAUACAACAAUGGGGGAAGAAGCUGAGCCGGUAAUGCGGGAAGAAGCUGAGCCGGCAAUGCGGGAAGAAGCUGAAGAAGAGGCAUCAGAUGAGCCCGUUGAUGAUCUAGGUCGGGCCAUUGCCGAUGCAAAGAGAAACUGCGCAAGUGAUUUGGAGAAGAAGAAGUUGCAGCGCAUGUUAGAGGCCGAAUUGCGUAGGUGACAAGAAAAAGUUGGGCACCACACUGGAAUUGCUGCAAUGGAAGGCAGAGAAUGGUGUAUCUGACAAGGGAUUUGGAAAGUUGCUGGUAAUGAUAAAGGAUAUGCUUCCAAAGGACAACGAAUUACCCGAGAGUACGUACGAAGCAAAGAAGGCUGUCUGCCCUCUAGGGUUAGAGGUGCAAAAGAUACAUGCAUGCCCUAAUGAUUGCAUCCUCUACCGCGGUGAGUACGAGGAUUUGAACGCUUGCCCGGUAUGUGGUGCAUUGCGCUAUAAGAUCAGCCGCGAUGAGCCUGGUGUUGUCGAGGGCGAGCGCCCCAGGAAGAAGAUUCCUGCCAAGGUGAUGUGGUAUUCUCCUAUAAUACCACGGUUGAAAUGUUUGUUCCAAAACAAAGAGCAUGCCAAGGCGAUGCAAUGGCACAGAGAAGACCGUAAGAAAGACGGAAAGUUGAGAGUACCCGCUGACGGGUCGCAGUGGAGAAAAAUCGAAAGAAAGUACGGGAAGGAGUUUGCAGAUGACGCAAGGAGCGUAAAGCGCAGAUGGCAUUAAUCCUUUUGGGGAGCAGAGCAGCAACCAUAGCACCUGGCCUGUGACUCUAUGUUUGUAUAAUCUUCCUCCAUGGUUGUGCAUGAAGCGGAAGUUCAUUAUGAUGCCAGUGCUCAUCCAAGGCCCUAAGCAACCCGGCAACGACAUUGAUGUGUACCUAAGGCCAUUAGUUGAAGAACUCUUACAACUGUGGAAUGGAACAGGUGUACAUGCGUGGGAUGAGCACAUGGGGGAAGAAUUUGACCUCAAGGCGUUGCUGUUCGUGACCAUCAAUGAUUGGCCUGCUCUCAGUAACCUUUCAGGACAGACAAACAAGGGAUACCGCGGAUGCACGCACUAUUUGGAUGAUACCGACAGUAUAUAUUUGAAUAGUUGUAAGAAGAAUGUGUACCUGGGACAUCGUCGAUUUCUUCCGAGCAGGCAUCCCGUAAGAAAGAAAGGCAAGCAUUUCAAAGGUGAGGCGGAUCACCGGAUGAAGCCUCGCCACCGUACUGGUGCUGAUGUACAUGAUAUGGUCAAGGAUUUGAAGGUGAUAUUUGGAAAGGGUCCUGGCGGACAACCUGUUCCGAAGGACGCGGACGGACGCGCACCCAUGUGGAAGAAGAAAUCUAUAUUUUGGGACCUGCCAUAUUGGAAAGACCUAGAGGUCCGCUCCGCAAUCGACGUGAUGCACGUGACGAAGAAUCUUUGCGUGACCCUGCUUGGCUUCUUGGGCGUGUAUGGGAAGACAAAAGAUACACCUGAGGCACGGGAGGACCAGCAACGUAUGCACGGAGAAGACGACAUACAUCAGGGUCAUGCAAGCUACGCUCUUACCAAAGAAGAGAAGGAAAUCUUCUUUGAAUGCCUGCUCAGUAUUAAGGUACCGUCUGGCUUCUCGUUGAAUAUAAAGGGAAUAAUAAACAUGGCAGAGAAAAAGUUCCAGAAUCUAAAGUCUCAUGACUGUCGCGUGAUUAUGACGCAACUGCUUCCGGUUGCAUUGAGGGGGCUUCUACCGGAAAACGUUCGAUUAGCCAUUGUGAAGCUAUGUGCAUUUCUCAAUGCAAUCUCUCAGAAGGUAAUCGAUCCAGAAAUCAUACCAAGGUUACCGAAUGAUUUGGUGCAAUGUCUUGUCAGUUUCGAGUUGGUGUUCCCACCAUCCUUCUUCAACAUCAUGACGCACGUCCUAGUUCACCUAUGCGAAGAGAUUAUCGUUUUGGGUCCUGUAUUUCUACACAAUAUGUUCCCCUUUGAGAGGUUCAUGGGAGUCUUAAAGAAAUAUGUUCAUAACCGUGCUAGGCCAGAAGGAAGCAUCUCCAAGGGCCAUCAAAAUGAGGAGGUCAUUGAGUUUUGUAUUGACUUUAUUCCUGACCUUAAGCCGAUUGGUGUUCCUGAAUCGCGGCAUAAGGGCAGACUGGAUGGAAAAGGCACGCUAGGAGGGGAACAAAUAAUAUGUAUGGACGGACAUUCUCUCACUGAAGCACACUACACAGUUCUACAGAAUUCCACCUUGGUGGCUCCGUAUAUGGAUGAACACAAGAAUUUGCUACGCUCCAAACACCCGGAGCGGUCUGAUGACUGGAUUACACAUGAACAAACUAGGAGUUUCGCCAACUGGUUGCAGACACGUACCAUGCAUGACACCUCUAUUGAAGAUGACAUGUACUUGCUGUCCCAGUUACCAUCUUCGAAUAUAAUGACUUUCAAAGGGUACGAGAUAAAUGGUAAUACAUUUUACACGAUCGCCCAAGAUAAGAAGAGCACCAACCAUAAUAGUGGUGUCCACUUUGAUGCAGAAACCAAGACGGGAAAGGAAACAUAUUAUGGUUAUAUACAGGACAUAUGGGAACUUGACUAUCGACGUGGUUUAAAGGUCCCUUUGUUUCGGUGCAAAUGGGUCAAUAUGACACGAGGCGGGGUAACGGAAGACCCGCAGUACGGAAUGACAACAGUGGAUCUCAACAAUCUUGCAUAUGCAGACGAACAUUCGUCCUAGCCAAUGAUGUGGCACAGGUUUUCUAUGUGAAGGACAUGUCUACCAAGCCAAGAAAAAGAAAACAUAAGGAAGCGAAUGCAUCGUACGAUGAGCCAAAGCGGCACAUAGUUCUUUCUAGGAAGAGAAACAUCGUGGGAGUGGAUGACAAGACAGACAAGUCAGAAGAUUAUGAAAAGUUUGAUGAAAUUGCUCCAUUCACAGUGAAUAUUGACCCGAGCAUCCCGUUAAAUGAUGAAGAUUUUCCAUGGUUACGGCGCAAAGGGACACACGCGAAGAAAAAGUUUCACACCCAAAGAUCUGGGAUGUGAUCGGCUUCACUAUCAUCACUUUCUUCUGUGUUUCACACUCAGGAGGGAAUGUCUGUAAUAGUUAGGGUAGUUAUGUGUUUUGGCAUUUGAAACGCGAAGAAAUUUUAUGUGCAAACAAAUUCUUUUCAUGCAUUUACUGAUUUUUUUCCAGCUAAAUGACCCUGAAAUUGAAAAGCAAUUCAAAUGAACUCAGAAAAGGUUGAAAGUUGGCAUGGUAUCAUAAUUUCAUACAAAUAGCAUGUGCAAGAAAGUAGAGAGGGUUACGGCAAAAACUGAAUGCACUUCGUGUACAAAAUGGACAAUCUCUUUCGAAGUAUCAGGGUUUCCGACGAAAACUGAACUGUUACAAAGGCAUUUCAUUUUUUAAAUAACCUAAUCAUUACUAAAUUGAAUAUAAUGAUAAAACACACUAAUAUUAAACAUAAGAAAAAAGAAUCACUGAAAAAACUUUGUUCAAAGUUAAGUUAUUCACAAACUAGUGAUUCACACAAAUUUCAAAUAAUUUAAAAUUUAAACUAUUCAAAUUUGAAAUCUACCGGCACUAACAGAAAGUUUGUAAUUUUUUGUACCUAAAGCAAAAAUAUUCACAAAGAAACUCUAAAUACAGAAAAAAACUCAAAAAUAAAUAAAACAAAAAUAAAUAAAACAAAAAUAAUAAGAAAAUAAAAAAGCCCGCCUACUGCGCCAUAGCGGCCUGCAUACGACUAGAAACCCAACCUGUAGUUGGGCCAGGAUGCAGGCCCGCAAGCCCAGUAAGCCCACAGGCAGAGUGGGAGAGGUAGGCCCAGAAGGCCUGCUAUUGAAAGUAGUUCAAUGCAGUGCCCGCGCCGGGGCUUAUAAACUGGUCCUGGCGCUCCUAAACUAGCUAGGUGGGACUAAACUUCUGCGCCCCUCGCCUGGCAGCGCACCCCCUUUAGUACCGGGUCGUGGCACAAACCGGUACUAAAGGGGGGGCCUUUAGUACCGGUUUGUGCCACCACCCGGUACUAAAGGGGGUCGCUUCCUGCCGCUUGGCCUGGCCAAAACAGACCUUUAGUACCAGUUGGUGGCUCCAACCGGUACUAAAGGUGCCUUCUAUAUAAGAAAACACUUCGAAAUUUCGUCGGUUUCUCAUCUCUCCCUCUGCUUCUUCUCCUCUGCACCGUCGCCCGCCGCCCCCGCCGUCUCCAUAUCCCUCGACGCCGCCCCGGCCCGUCGCCGCCCCCGACGCCGCCCCGUCCCCGUCGUCGUCGCCCCGUCGUCCCGUCCCCGUCGUCCCCGUCGUCACCGCCGCCCCGUCCCGGCCGCGUCNNNNNNNNNNNNNNNNNNNNNNNNNNNNNNNNNNNNNNNNNNNNNNNNNNNNNNNNNNNNNNNNNNNNNNNNNNNNNNNNNNNNNNNNNNNNNNNNNNNNNNNNNNNNNNNNNNNNNNNNNNNNNNNNNNNNNNNNNNNNNNNNNNNNNNNNNNNNNNNNNNNNNNNNNNNNNNNNNNNNNNNNNNNNNNNNNNNNNNNNNNNNNNNNNNNNNNNNNNNNNNNNNNNNNNNNNNNNNNNNNNNNNNNNNNNNNNNNNNNNNNNNNNNCGCUGCCCCGGCCCGUACGUCCCCGUCCCGUCGUCGCCGCGCCCGUCGCCGUCCCCGUCGCCGCGCCCGUCGCCGUCCCCGUCGCCGCGCGCCCCCCGUCGCCUCUCGCCUCGCCGGCCGGUGAGCGCGCACACACACACACAUACAUUUUUAGUUAUAGAUUUUUCUGUUUUUAGGAAAUUGUUAGACAUUUUUUUGUUUUUUAGAAAUAGUUAGAAAUGUUAGAAUUGUUAGAAUUGUUAGAAAUGUUAGAAAUUGUUAGAAAUUUUUCUGUUUUUUAGUUAUAGAAAUAGUUAUAAAAAAGUUAGAAUUGUUAGAAAUUUUUCUGUUUUUUAGUUAUAGAAAUAGUUAUAAAAAUGUUAGUUAUAUAUAUAGAAAUGUUAUAAUUUUUUUCUGUUUUUUAGUUAUAGAAAUAUUAGAAAUGUUAUAGAAAUGUUAGUUAUAUAUAGCAUUGUUAGAAAUGUUAUAGAAAUGUUAGUUAUAUAGAAAUGUUAGAAAUUUUAGUUAUCAAAAUCCAAUCAUUAAAAAAUGUUACUUUUUGCGGGCAUAUAGCUAGUAUUUGUUCUCGACGAUGCCCGGCCCGCAUCCUCGCCGUCGACCCGUCCGCGACGACGUCCAGCCGACCCAUGUCCGGGACUGGGCUCCGCCGGGCUGGCACUGGGAGGUGCUGCUUGGAGGGGCGCGCCGCUUGACGAGGAACCCGACCGCGGGUCCUGUCGUCGACCCUGAUCUCGUUUGGUGGCGUUCGCGUGGGCCAGUUUCGGUGCGGAGGGACCCGGCCCCGCCGGAGGUGGUACGUCGCCGUGUCAGGGAGGAGGACGAGCACGUCCAUCGCUACAUGGUUGCGUUAGAGGGCGGCAGGUUCUCCAAUACGUGGCAGUAUCUUCGGGGAUCUCACUUCAGCUAUGAUCCUGUGAGGGUUCCUUCUCUUUGGGUGUCCACUGCCCGCGCCGGAGGAACCGCGAGUGUCCUAGAUUCUUCUGUAGUAUUCGAUCUUUAUUAGCUAAUAGCCAGUGAUGUACUAUUCAAUAUUAUAUAUUAUUCGAGACGAUGUAUUCGAGAUUAUAUCUAUUAUUCUGGACGAUGUAUUCGAGAUUAUAUCUAUUAUUCGAGAUUUGAAUGCUAAAUUGUUUUAUAUUUCUUUUGGAUUAGUUAAACAAAAGCUAUGACAGACAAUACCGACAGAGAGGGAGAACAGACCAUGUUCGAUAUGAUACGUGGGGCAGAUGAUAAUCAAAAUGAAGAAGAUUAUGACGGCUCCGAAUUUCUAAACAACACCGGAGAGGGUGAUAUGAUAUUCGAUCACGACGAAGUCAUGAACUAUGACGAUGACGAAGAACAUGAUCCUGAAACAACAAACACCGACGGGGUAUAUAUAUUUAUAUAAGCAGGCAUCUGGUGAUCAUCACAUGUUUUAAAUGACGUGAAGAUAUAUUAACGAAUCGAUCUUUGUUCUUUCAGCCAUCCGGAUCGAGCAAAUCUUCAGGCAAAAGGACGAAACGAGGCCCGAACAAAAAGUUGAAGCCGAGCGUAAAGUACAAUAUCGAGGCAUGCGGCCCUACUGGCAAACCAUUAGCGCCUAAGAAGAUUGCGGACAAGUUCAUUCGCCAGUGCGGAGUUCUUGUGAAGGAUCAACUCCCGAUCAAACUUCAAGAAUGGAGAGCGCCAGCAAAGCCACGUCCAGAUGUUACUUAUGUCGACAAGAAUCAAAAAGAUCUGCUUUGGGAUACUCUCAUGGAACAUUUCACCCUACCAGAUCAUUUCAAAGAAGCAGAUGUGCAGAAAGUCAAAGAGGCUGCUCUUAAGAUGAUGGCGGCUGCAUUCAAGAACUACAAGAAUGGUGAAUGGAACAAGUACAUCAAUGGAGGAAGGAAAACUCCAGUAUUCAAGGGAACACUGGAGAACCAACGUGAUCAUUGGGACGAUCUCGUGAAAUUCAAGGAAAAAAAGGAUAAGUUCCAUAAGCUGGGGCCAGGUGGCUAUGCGGUGGCAAUGCCUAAGUGGGAUAAGUCUUAGAAAGAGAUGGAGGAUGCAGGUGUCACUCCGGCUACUAAGAGCUGGCCCCCCAAGGUCAGGACUUGGUUCUAUGCGCAUGGGGGGGAGUUGGACCGGGAGACAGGCAAUGUUUCGACGAGGGCAAGUCUGAAGGGAGCCGACGAUGCGAUACUUGUUGCAAUAGAAGAGGCACGAACGGGGGUGUUCCAGCCCAACAAAGAGAACGACGAGCUUACGCGUGCCCUGGGAAAUCCUGAACACCCGGGAAGAACACGAGGCAAGGGCGCUCUGCCGUGGUAUGAGGGGUUUUCAGACUGGAACAACGACUACAGAACCCGUGCGAGAAAGAAGAUUGCGGAGGAGAAGAAGAGGAAGAUGGAGGAGGAGCAGAGGAAGCGGGACUAUGAACUCCUUCAAGGCCUAGAAGCAAGUCAAGCGGAAUUGGCAGUCAAAUUCCAGCGGCAGCAGGAGCAGAUCGACUCACUUACCCAUCAAAGGGGGUCUCAGCAGCUGCAGCAGCUACGGAUGAUCCAGCAUUGGAUAGCACCGGCCCAUCCAUGCCGAGAAGCAGCGUGGGUUCCGUCCCGGACGACGCAAUGCUGGGUAGAUACCCCGUGGAUGACAUCACGGAGAACACUAACUGCGAGCUACACGUCAAAAUGAAGAACAUAUCCAUGAAGGUGGCGGACGGAUGUGCUUUCACAAAUCCCCCCGAGGCAACCUUCCAUUGCAACCCGAUUCCAGCGGGCUAUGCUCGUGUCUUGGUUGAUGAGGUGGUGGACCCACCAUAUUCGGGGCUACAGCUUGACAUUGCUGGAGGUGACGGCGAGCGCUUUCUCGGAGAGGCCAAACAUCGUAUCAUCCUAUGGAAAAAGGAUUGCAUCAUCUUUCCAAGGCCACCGACACCGCGUCACCCGAGUCCUCGUCGAAGUCCGCCACCGAGUCAACAGACUCCCGCUCCUCCAAGUCCGGCAAAGUGUCAGGACAAUCCUCCUUCUCCAAGUCCGGCAAAGUGUCAGGACAAUCCUCCUCCUCCAAGUCCGCCACAGCGUCAGACGUCCACUCCUCCUCCAAGUCUGGCACAACCUCAGGCCACUCCUCCUCGUCCAACUCAGUCCCGUCAGCCGUCUCCGCCGCCUCAGCAAUCGCAGAAGAGACACCCCGCAGCUAUGGUGAGUAGCGGUACGAGUCGAGGUAGUACAGGAAGUACAGGCGGAGGCAAGCAAUAUAAAUAUGGUCCAAGCCUCAAGCCUCUUCCGUAGAGGUCUUAUGACAGGUCCGAGGAGGAAAUCACAGCCAUAUCGAAGGUCGAGGUGGAAGCCCAUUUUGCACCGAAACCGCCACCGCCGCCAAGGGAGAAAGUGCCUGAGGAAACGAUUGACCACUUCAUUCGUAUGGCUCAACCACCAGCUUCCAAGCCUGUUGACACAGACUAUGAGCGCCACAUCAGGAAGUUAAAUCGAGCACGUCUACAAAGGGAGGCGAGCACGUCUACAUCGGGAUCGAGCAAACAAGAAGCAGCUGCCAAAAAAUGCGGGAAAACCAUUCCCCAGCUGGGAGAACAGGCGGCGCAAUCGAUCCCCUCGCUUGUUGUGCCAACAACAGGUGACAGUACGCGCCCCCAAUAUUAUUGUGGGCAAACAGUGCAUGUUCCCGAGGUGGGCAAUGUGGUAAUAAUGGAGGAGCAUAUAAUGCAGGCUGAAGUUCUCAACAUCACUGUUGGACAACUCCUCGAGAUCGAGCCCAUGCCUUUGCUUAGAGAGGAUGAAGUAAAACGGAAAUAUGUCCGGGGCCAACCUUUGGUCGCGCCAGACAAGGUCAAGAACCUCCCAACGAGAAUGUAUGAAUUGCAUCAAUGAUACAUGAACAUUACCAAGAUUUCAGAUCGAGUGUCCCUCAUGGUGAAUGUCAAGAAGGACCAUUACUACCAUGAGAAAGCUGGGUCCGUUGAGUAUUUAGAACUGUUUCAGUUAUACAAUCAGGACGCACUCGACAAAUCUAUCGUCAGUUGCUAUUGUCUGUAAGUGAUCUCUUUCUAUAAUUUAAGUCUCAAGCUAGCUGUAGUGAUCCUUUUGAUCAAUCAUUACCUGUAAUUAUCCUCACUAUAUUCUUUUCUGUGGUAUUAUGCAGGAUGAAGAUAUAUGAAAUGAGAAAAGGUGGACGCUUUGGCAUUGGGUUCAUUGACCCAAACACCGUUAAUGAAUUCACAUGGAAGAUAAAUGAACAUCAUGCAAAGAAAGUAGAGGACAACAUGCUAGAGUUCUUGAAGCGCCUCAAAUACAAUGAAGAUAUACUACUUCCUUACCACUUUGGGUGAGUCACACUGUCUUGUACUACAAAUUCUCUGUUUUUGCCUACUAGCUAGCUACAUGUUUUUGCUUACAUAUGCCCGCUUAAUUAAGACAUGUAAACGUGUGUGCAUGCAGAUUUCACUGGGUCUUGUGUAUCAUUAAAGUUGACGCCGGAACAGUUGAAGUACUGGACUCACUAAUCUCAAAAAAAACUGACUUUAACAUCUUGUAUGGGAUAGUCAACAGGUAAUUUCAAUCACUAUUAACUAUAUAUCUCGGCUUAUUUAGUUCGUCAUUUCAUGAUAUGAACUAUUUAAUAACCCUUUUAUUCAUUUUCUUUGUCGGCGGGCAGGGCUUGGGCAAGAUUCAUCAGCGUCACGGAAGGUGAAUGGAAACAAAAGCUUCAAUGGGUUCGACCCAAGGUAAGUAAUUAAGUAGUACUAGCUAGCUAGCUAGCUGCCAUCUCUUCAAUUAUCAUGCUUGAUUAAUUUUUAUCUGAUCAAAUUCCAUUCUCGUAAAGGCCCUGAAGCAGGCGCAGGGGACUGAUCUGUGUGCAUUCUGCGUUUGCGAGAACAUUCGCAUGAUGGCGUCCGAAAGGAGCAGAUCUCAAAGACAGAAUGGGUACGCUUGUCAGAACACUAUUCACAAUUUUUACACCAUUAUCGAUAUCUAGUCACACAACUAAUACACAUGCAUAUUGAUCUCCUUCUUAACAGUUCAAAGAGGUGCGGGAGAAGCUCAUAGAAAGGGAGCGCGUAGAAGCACUUCAAGAGGAAAUAGCGGGAUUUUUGCUCGACCAGGUCAUAAAUCCGAAUGGAUAAUUCUAUUACCCGCUACCGCCCCCAUGAAAACCACUUUCAAUUGUCAUCGUGCUCUGAAGGCACCAAUUAGUCUAAUGCCACUGGCUCCGAAGGCAACAUUCAUAUGUAGGAGAAAUUGUAUAUAGCUAUACAUGUGUGUCUGUGUGAAUUAAUUAAUAUGGUAGUUUAAUUUGUGAGACAUUGAUGUGAUAUAUAUAUGCAUGAUUGGUUCUACUAGAANNNNNNNNNNNNNNNNNNNNNNNNNNNNNNNNNNNNNNNNNNNNNNNNNNNNNNNNNNNNNNNNNNNNNNNNNNNNNNNNNNNNNNNNNNNNNNNNNNNNNNNNNNNNNNNNNNNNNNNNNNNNNNNNNNNNNNNNNNNNNNNNNNNNNNNNNNNNNNNNNNNNNNNNNNNNNNNNNNNNNNNNNNNNNNNNNNNNNNNNNNNNNNNNNNNNNNNNNNNNNNNNNNNNNNNNNNNNNNNNGCAAACGAAAAAGAAUUAAAAUGGAAAUACAAAAUUAAAUGAAAAAGAAAUCAUAAAACUAAAAACCCCCCAAACCUUAUAGUACCGGUUGGUCCAACCGGUACUAAAGGGCUCCAGGGCCCCGGAGCUGGCUCGUGCCACGUGGUUGCCCUUUAGCACCGGUUCGUGCUGAACCGAUACUAAAGGGGGAGGGGGGGCUUUAGUGACCACAAAUUAGUGCCGGUUAUGUAACCGGCACUAUAGAGCCUUACGAACCGGUGCUAAUGCCUGGUUCUGCACUAGUGCACUAUAGCGAACAUGAACCAGAUAUUGUAGCGAUUCAGACCACACCAAUGUAGUGAACCGGAAUGAGUUACUACAACGAACAUUUAUAAAAAUUUGAGGAACAUAUUUUUAAAAGUGUGAACAUUUUUGAAUUUGUGAACAAGUGUUCAAACAUGGGAAACAUUUUUUGAAACUCAAAAUAAUUUUUGAAAGCACAAACAUUCUUUCAAUGUGUAAACAAGUUUUUUUAGUGUAAACCAAUUUGUUGAAGUGGUGAACAUUUAUGAAAUGCCGAACAAUUUUUGAAACCGUGAUUUUUUUAUUUUUGAAAAAAUAUUGAAAAAUGGAAAAUGUUAUGAAAUUCCNNNNNNNNNNNNNNNNNNNNNNNNNNNNNNNNNNNNNNNNNNNNNNNNNNNNNNNNNNNNNNNNNNNNNNNNNNNNNNNNNNNNNNNNNNNNNNNNNNNNNNNNNNNNNNNNNNNNNNNNNNNNNNNNNNNNNNNNNNNNNNNNNNNNNNNNNNNNNNNNNNNNNNNNNNNNNNNNNNNNNNNNNNNNNNNNNNNNNNAAAGAGCCCGUGCGUUGCAACGGGAGGAAAAAAAAGCCAAAAUUAGUGACGUUGCAAUAAUUUAUAUACCAGAAAAGGUGUAAUCAAAAGGAUAAUUUAUAAAUUACUAUUGAUCUCACAAAAAAGAAUAAUUUAUAAGUUGGAUGUGAAACAUAUUUUUUAAGUUCGCCGUGUGUGCCAUAACCCCCCGGCGUGCGGGGCUAAACAAGACGCGAGCAAGAUGCACUAUUGUCGCACUCUCUCCACUCUUCAUUCCCCCUUUCUCCUCCCUAUCUCACCAACGACAUCGAUGACAAGCAGAUUUGAGGUAUAAGUUGAUGGUCAGCAAGUACCGGCAGUGGCGGAGCCAGGAGAAACUUAAUCGGGGGGCCAACUGAUGUUAAAUCAUGCCGGGGAACACAAUAUUAGCAACAGGUAAUUAGUCAUGUAAUGGAAAAAUCUGCAUGUUGGCCUCGGCUGGGGCCCCUGCUCGCACCCCUGCCUCCGCCACAAAGUACUCGUGAGCCCCAAAUAUCUUCUCCCUUAAAAAGUAGCAUUUCUUUCCAAUUUAUCACUCACUUUUAAUUAGUCUAUUUGAUAAUGUAUUUGUAAGGUGUGGUAGGCAUGAAUAGUAAACUAUGAUAGUAACAACAAACAACAACAACAAGUAGUUAUAAUUGGUGCUCAUCCGGAAAACGAUGCUAGCACGCAUAGCAUCCAUCCAUGGUUUUGUAGGUUUUGUUUAUCAUUUUGAAAUAUUACCACCCUUGAAUGAAAUGAGCAAAUUUUGGAACUUUUUCCAAAGAUCUCAGGCGAAAUGAACAAUCCAAAAUUUGAAUUUUUGGACAAAAAUGGGAUGAAAUAUGAACGAAAAACUAUCAAAAUUGUACAAAUAUUUUGUCUUGCAGCAAUGGAAUAAAGCAGAAUCAAACUGAAUAACACUAUCCCUUUAUUGAUAUACACCCACGAAUAGCUCACAUCAAUACAAUUAGCAGAAAUACCACAUUACUUACUAUUCAUCUUGGUGUGAUUAGUACUACAUCCUAGGUCCCGUUUUAGCAAGAUGUGGCUGGAAUUGUUCCUUGGUGAUGUCGCUCGGAUGACCACGUCUGCAUCCAGCAGCUUCUAGUCCACAGUUGAUUAAAAAAAGCAAGAGGCACCACCAAAUCCCCACCGAUGUCACCACCCACUGCGUGCCCCUUCUUAUCCACAACACGUCGCCAUUCCUCAUCACCCAAGCGCCGCUCCGCCUCCAUCUUCCUCCUGCUGCCUGACCACCCAUCGUUGCUCCUCCUCCUCUUCUCCUCUUCUCCAUCCGCCUCACACCCAAGUGUUGCUUUCCUGUUCUUGGCCGCGGUGGCUGGCCUGAGCCACAUCCCAGCUGACAGCGUCGGCGUGCUUUCUGGCUACGGCUGGGGCGUUGGUGGCCUGCUCAUCGGCGCACUCGGGCCGGGGCGGAGCCCCCUUCCUUGCAGUGGUGAUGGAGCCCCUCCUCCCGGAGGGUGGCUGGGGGCAACCGAGGUUGCAGGGCAGGUGUGCAGUGGCUCGGUUGCGCCAGAUCUGGCGGCUGGCCAGCACGCGCGGGGGGCGGUCUGGUGGUGGUGUUCGUCUGCCGGUGGCCACGGAUGUGGGAGUGCCGAAGCUGCCUCCGGUGAAAGCCCCUGGGCCCCGGUUUUCUCUUCCAUGAGCUGGUCUCUGUAUCAGCAAUGGGCAUCAAUUUUCUCUGUAUCUUUAGUUCGGCUCUCUCUCCUUCUUUAGGAUUAUUAGCUCAAAUGGCAAUUAAGACAUUUCUUUCUAUUAGACUCGGUGCUUUUCUUUGGAUUCAUGUGCAUCUCCUCUUUGCUCAUUUUCAAUUGGUGACGCAUAUAGUAGAUGCGGCAGGCAGCUUUCUUGAUUUUUCUCUAGGGUAAACAUGAACAUCUCAUCCGCUUUUUGUUGGCUUGUUGAUCUUGUAAUGCAUGAAAUAAGUUGGUUGGAUUUUAUGUAAUAGAGCAGGUAGGACUAUUAAUUGGAAUCUGAAAUUUUAGCACAGGCACAAGACUUGGUUCCUAAGGCAGGAAGAGGAGGAGCUCGGGCGCGCUGGUGAGAGGAGCCGAAGUGGAACGGUGGUGCCGGGUGAUGCGGUCGCCGGCGUCGGCCGGCAGCGGAUUGAGCAUCACGUGGGCCGCGAGCUUCUUUGUAAACCACAGGGGCUUCUUUGUAAAAAAGCGUGACGGACGACAGAAAUCCAACCAUCCGGAGCUGUCGCCGCCGCGAAGAGCGCCGCCCCACCGCGCCGGAAAGGAAGCAUGUGGAUAAGAUAGAACAAAGGGUCGCGGACCGAAUUCUUACAAACAUAGGGUUCUUUUUUGUAAAAAUGAAUCGUUAUCUCAGAUCCACUUAAACAGGGACUGCGGGUUGAAUUCUCACAAGCAGAGGGGCUUUUUUGGAAAAGUGCCGACGACGGACGGGCAGAAGCACUCCGUGCUUUAUUAGUAGGGAAAGAUAUAUAUUCUUGCUUUUAGAUUUUUUUUUCCUUGUUUUUCAUGAACGAAAAAGGUAUAGAAGGCCAAAAAUAGUACUCGUUGGCCCACAUACAUUCCUAGAUGGCCCAUGUGAGUGAGGCCCACAUCUUGCUCGGCUCCGCUGGAAAUUAAAGAGAGGAAUUAGAAAUGUGAUGCGAGCGAGACUAGCUCUAGGGUUUACUACACUCUCUUCCCCUUCUAAUUGAAUCAAAGAAGCAGCAGCACUCACCCCUCCUUCGCCGAGGUCGAGCGGCGGCGGAUACGGUCCAUUAAUUCCCUAUCGCAGCUAUUAUGGAUGAGGUCGAGCAGUGGCGGUUAACAGCUGACGCCAUUGGUGACACCUUAUCAUUGGCGUCAUACUAGCGGCGUCGCCCUGCAACGCCACUAACUGUGUUUCACGAAAGCCGCUAGUAGGCAUUUGUGCGCUAAUGAAAUCAAAUCCUUAACUGUUUUAUAACACCUAUUUUCCUCCUCUAUGCGAUACAUGGGUCAUUUCAGCAACACACGAGUUGUGGCGGAGUAACGAUGGCCGUCUUAUUUUUUGUCCUUAUUCUUUUAUUAUUUUUAUUUCUAUAUUCCUAUUCUCUAUUACUCACCUUAACAUUUGUUUUCAUCCUUCAUAUAUUCUUAUGGAUGUACAUGAACAUUUAUUUUUACAUACAAGAACAUUUAUGAAAAUAUAUGUGUCCACUUUUUUCAUAAACACAAACAUUUAUUUUAUUUUGCAACAUGUGAAGAUUUUGGGUCACACAUGAACAUUUCUUUUCGCAUGCAGGAACAUUUAAGAAAGACAUUUUAAUAAUUACAUGAUAAUUUCUUUUCGUGGACAUGGACAUAUUUUACAACGCCUUAAUUUUUUAGUUAUUUAUUUAAACGAUUCUAUGAACAUUUUACAUAUUUUUCUAUGUUUUUAUUUCCUUCAGAUUUUUUCUGUGUUUUUUCCAAAACAGAAUGGUCUGGAAGGCCGAAAAUAGUGCGCGUCGGCCCGCAGCCAUUCCGGGUGUUCCUGGGAAGCCCAUGUGAGGAAAAAAAGCUCGCAAUGCAAAGAAUGUUUCUGGGAAGCCCAUGUGAGCGGGUGGUCCUCCGCUCACGAGACUGGCUAGGGUUUACAGUACACUCUCCUCUCCUCCGAAUCGAAUCAAAGAAGCGGCGGCGCUCUCCUCUCCUCCGCCUCGCCGGCGUCAAGCGGCGGCGAUGUCCUCCUCUCCCGGUCGGUCGUUUCCCCUGUCAAGGAAGGUACCGCCGUUUUUCGAUUCGCUUCUCCUCUCGUGAGUGACCCCUCUCGAGUCUUGACAUGUACAUGGCCGCCGUUUCUCGAUUCACCUUCUUGUUCUUGACAGGGGAAACCAAACCGGCAGUAGGAGUAUAUAUCAUCCCCGUCAUAAACAAACUUAGUUAAUGUUGUAAAGCCAUUCUCCUAGGUACAGUAGUAAGUAAGCUUUUUGCCUAGGGUUGCAGCAAAUACUACUGUAGUAUGUCUAGUUGAACAGAUAUUAGAUUGGCCCUGUGAACUCAACUCAUCGUCUGUGCCUCGCAAAAUGAUUGAUUUCCCUACUUUCUUUCUUUCUUGCCCAACCAAGACCUAGAACUACACUACUAAUUAAUUGGCAUAUAUGCUCUGCUUUUCAUGUUACUGUUAAUUAGGUGCCUCCAAAUAAGUUGGUUCAGAUUCAGCAUGUUUCUUUGUAUUCUCUUGGUUAGUUCAUUAUUCAGGCUCUGCUUGCUAACUAAUUAUGGUGGUAUUUUAGUUUUAUGAUGUGGCCUGUAGCAUCAUUUUUUUUUCUUUCUAACAAUCCAGACACGGGUAAGGUGCUAUCUAUCUACUUUAAUAAAUCUCCCUGCGUGCCUGGUUGGACCUAAAGUUCGUAAUGUUGUAAAUUCAUUCUCCUAGGUACUACUUAGAAAGUAAGCUUUUUGCAGCUGAUCGAGUACUUGCCUAGGGUUGCAGCAAAUACCAGUAUUUCUAGUUCAACAUAUAUUCGAUUGGCGUCAUCUAUUAAUAAUAACCGCUCCCUGUGAACUCAUCAGCCGUGACAAAAUGAUGUCUCUGCUCUCUUUCUUGCCCAGGCAAGAGCUACAAGUACUAAUUCCAAUUUGCUUGCCCUGGUUUUCAUGUUACUAAUUAGGUGCCUCCAAAUAAUUUGGUUCAGAUUCAUCACGUGGGUCUUCUUGCAGAAUUGCUUGCGUCAAAUCUAGCUUGUUGCUUUAUAUUCCCUUAGUUAUUAGUUCAUUACUCAGCCUCUGCUACUUGAUGGUCGUAGCUAGUUUAAUUUAAUGAUGUGGCCUGCUUGUAGCGUCACCUUUUCUUUCUACCAAUCUGGACACAGAUAAUGUGCUAGCUAUGUUAACAAAUCUCCAUGCUUGUGAAGAACAAACAAGUUUUGGACGGAUACACAAAAUGCUCAAACUUCGUCAGUAAUAUAUUCUUCAUAAUGAGUGUCUGUCACCAUUCUGAUCUCCAUCUAUCUUCACAUGCAUUAUUCUGAUGUAUUGUAAGUUUUAGUCCAGCUCUUUCCGUUGUUUUCUGAACCUUGAAAUGUAUUGCCUGAUUGGUACAGCUAAAUUGUUCAAUGGAGGACCUACCGGAGGCUUUGCUGACAGAGAUUCUCAACAGGAUCACCAGGACAAGUGAUCUCAAUUAUCUUUCCCUUGUGUCAAAGCAGCUCUACAAGAUAGAGGGGAGUCAAAGGGGUGCUAUCCGUGUUGGUUCCGGUCUUUGCACUGCUACAAAAGCACCGACAUCAUUGUGCGCCCGGUUCCCAAAUCUGUGGAAAGUGGAUAUCGAUUACUCCGGUUGGGUACCUGGACAUGGAAAGCAGUUGGACAACAAAGGCCUUCUUGUGUUUUCAUCUCACUGUCCCUCGAUGAUUGACCUCACCUUAAGCUUCUGCUCAUGCAUCGAUGACUCUGGGCUUGCUUGUUUAGCGAAUUGCAAGAAAUUGGUGUCUCUCAGGCUGAAAUCCACACCAAAAAUAACUUCGAUUGGGCUUUUCUCGGUUGCAGUUGGUUGCACAAGUCUAUCUGCUCUCCACCUUAUUGGUUGCGAGAAAAUUGACAGUGUAGAGUGGCUGGAAUACCUUGGUAGGGAUGGGUCGCUGGAAGAGCUGGUAGUGAAGAAUUGCAAAGGUAUCAAUCAUCAUGACUUUCUAAAGUUUGGUUCAGGAUGGAUGAAGCUCCAGAAGUUUGAGUUUGAGAGCAAAAGAGGGAGAUAUGGCCUUCUUGAUCCAGGUGAUGUUGUCUAUGACUCCUUGUAUGAUGCUCAAAGCAUGGAUAUGUAUGAUUUCUGCUGCGAAAGUUUGAAGGAUUUAAGGUUGGCGCAUAUUAAAACUUGGCCAGAAGCAGGACUUCGAGUUCUCCUAGGGAAGUGUAAAGCAUUGGAGAAGCUUUGCCUUCAGUAUGUUCAUGCCCUAAAUGAUAAUGACAUUAUUGCAUUAUCUCGGAGCUGCAGCAACCUUAAAAGAAUCUCACUUUGGCUCAACCUGCAGCGCUACUCUAGUGAUGUUAGCUAUUGUGAGACCAGGACGUCAUUUACUGAUAACAGCCUUUACGCUCUAGCCCUCAACUGUCGCAUGCUUCAGAUGAUAGACCUCAGCUUUACAGAAUGUGAUGCCGACUGGCCAUCAGAAAUAGGAUUCACACAAGAGGGUUUUCUGGUGCUCAUUAAGUCCUGCCCAAUUCGUGUUCUUGUGCUCAACAACGGCAACUUCUGUGAUGACGAGGGGAUGAAGGCCCUCUCAUCCUCGCCUCAUCUGGAGACACUCGAGCUUAUAUUGUGUCGUGCGGUAACUGAUGUUGGGAUGCGCUUCAUUGCGCACACCCCAUGCUUGAGUAAUCUCACACUUCGGAUGUGUCCUAACGUCACUGAUGUGGGAGUGGCUGAACUGGAACAUGCACAGAUGUUAAGAGUCUUUGGUCAUCGAGUCUUGUGGUGAGGUCUCUCUGCAAGCUGCGCAGUGUGUUGCCAAGUCAGUUCAGUACUCCAGCGAGUGUUCAAAUGCCCUUAUGAAGAAAAUUGGUCUUGGCAGCUAUUGAUGAAGUGGUCUCCAAAAAAUUUAGUAUUGAUUUGCUGCUGAAGCCAUUAAGUUGUUUCCUGUGCAUCAUUGCCUUCUACCUUUACUGUAUGAUUUUUCUGUAUGACAGUCUAAUGAUGAUCUUUGGACGGCAUCUGGUGGAUGAAAGCUUAAUAGUAGGCACCACUUGUGUAUUACUAUCAACUGUACGUAAUUCUGGUUACUUUAUUUCUACUCUCUGUAGCCGUUUCGUGACCGGCAUAAGUAGGCCCCAAGAUUUCCUGUAUUUGCUGUGGAGGCACUAUAUGACCGUUUGGUGUUAUUUGUCUUAUUUAAGCAAAUGUCCUGGACCCCUUGUUUUAUUGUGCAAAUGCCUUCUAUGUUCGCGUGGCACUAUGCGAUUCAUUGUAGUAAUAAUAUUAUGUCCAAGUUUCGCUGGACAUAUACAAAGGCGACAUGCUUGUUUUGUUGACAUCGACUUAAUUGGAAGAUGCCUUUGAUUGCUUCUCAAAAGAAUGGUGUUAUUUACUAGUAGCAUAAUUGUGGAUGUUUAGAUUCCAGAAUGACCUGAAGUUGUGGAAUAACUGAAGCUACAGGUAUUGCUUUUCAACUGAACCUGAAGACCUAUAACAUAGUUGUGUGCUAAUUACAGGUAUGUAGUCACUCACAGCAUGUCUUUGCUCUGGACGUCCAGCACUAAAUAACAUUGUGUUCUUACCUUUUUGAGGGGGUUUACCUAUCAAUAGAAUAUGAGCUGGUGAAGUGUAUGAAAGUAGCAGAAAUUAGGACACCAUUUGAGCGAUGAGAUAUCGAGAUUCAUGUGUUUGCUUGGUUCAUCAGUCUAGUACAAAGAUCCUGAAAUUGUAAAUCUUUUAUUUAGUAACAAGACAGCUCGUUGCAUCAGUUCAGCUCGUGGGGACAACAUUUGCCUUGUAUUUGUAGAACAUCAAGAUGCCAACUUUGCUGGCUAUGUACUUUGUGUUGUACUACUUGGUAAGUACUUGAGCUAAAAUGAAAUAUGCGCCUUUCCCUUGUUAAAAAAGGGAGAGUAAUUUAUUUAUUUUUACAUUAUGAGAUCAUCCACGCCCUGAUUGUGGAAUAUUUACUAGUACAAAACAAACACUGGCAAAGAGAGGAAGCAAGAAGUUAAUGAGCUACAGGAAGCGACGCACAAAGCGCUUUAUGUUCGGGGUUUUUCGUAGCGACGCACAAAGCGCCGCCAUGGCAAUCCGGCAGACAUACAGUAUACUUUUACUGAUUCAUUCAAUCCACCUGAGGUUGCAACUUUUCUUCAGCUGUUUGUGUAGACAAGAUGUUGCUUGCUUCUAGAUGCCUUGAAUUCACAAGAUGCAGCCAACCACACAAAUUCCACAAUGGCUAGAUUUAUUGAAUUAAAGAAAAAUUACAUUGUUCACUAGUUGGCCAAGUAAAAACUCUGGAGGUUCAUUAGUCCAACUAUCGUCACACUUAUUACAAAAACUGAAUUUCGCUAGCUCAUGAGCUACAGAGUUUGUAUCGCUGUCUAGGAAAAUUUUCACAGGAGAAAAUUAAUCUGUCAUUUUUUCUACGGGAGAAGAUAGAGGAUAGAUGGCGACACUGAAGAAGAAAAUUUUGGCGUGUCGGAUGUUACACGGCAACCAACACAUACACGGGCUGGUAGACGUACAGAAAGCGCCGGUAACCCACUUGAGUUCGUAUUUUUCUUCAGUUUGUGUGGUAAAAAAAAGAUGUUGCUUGGCUGCACAGGCUUUGAGUUCCAGAAGUUGCACCCAUGGCCUCAUAUUCCCUCGGACACAGGACUUCCAACAAGAAUUACGGUCUAGGAUUUGUAUUAAACAGAAUUCAACACUGCGACCUUUAUUUCUACCACAACCGGUGGAUAAAAUUCAAGCACGGAAUUUUCCCGCAAUUUGUAGUUGCGUUGCGCCACCAGUCAUGAGUCCUUGAUCUAAAUAUUUGGUCUAUGUACCAGCUGAAAAGCGAAAAGAGAGACAUUUUUUAGGAUAGCUUAUAUAUACUGAAGCAGUUUGACAUGAUCAAAUAAACAAGGAAAUGCUACCAAAAAAAUCACAGGGGACACCAUCAAAGAAAAACUCUGCUGCAAUGUUAACUCAAGUCCAUUCAGUGCAUGAGUUGUUGACAGAGGAGAAUUGUGAAAUAUAGGAGCAGGCGUACGACGUGGGUAUUGCUUUCUAGGAAUAAGUCCUGUAUCCUUUUUCCGGAGCGAGGACAGAAAAUAGAGGAAGAGAUGGCGACACUGAAGAAGGAAAACAGGCGACCAGCAGCAGCUUUGAAUUCCACAAGCUGCAGCCAAACACAUGACUUCCCACAAGACUUGCGGUCCAGUAUUUGUCUUAACCUCAAUUGAACAUAGAAACCAUCAAUAGAAUUCCAGCACGGAAUUUUCCAGAAUUUAUUGUUGUGUUGCGCAAAAAGGUUUGCACGUUCCCUCCUGUCCUAUGUGGUUUCUUUUACUAGUAAGAUCAAGCUAAGAUAAUGCACUGGUAUAGUGCUAUAAGUAUGGAAGCACUAGUAGGAUUAAUAAUUUUCAAACUUUUAGUUAUUCAUAAAUUACAAAGGGCGUGCCUGUGCUAAACAAACGAGUUCCAACAAGACACAUAAACCUUUUAUCCUUAACAUCGACACAAUUUCCAGCAUGGAUUUUUUCCACACUUUUAUAUUUUGUUCUACUACUAUGUAGCGUCUGAAAACCGAAAAGGGGAACAAUAGAACUGCAGAGAAUAGCUUAAGACAAAACGUAAUUUCCACCUCGCUUGCUUUCCCGUGAUGACUGAUGACUUGUUUCAGCUAGGUUAGGUAGGUGCCUGCCAACUUCUCUCUUCAGGAAAUUUAGCAGCAAACAUACAAGUCUGAACAAUCGUCGAGUUCAGAGGACAGCUCCCUUUAUCCCUUUCUAAUAGAGAAGGAGAUAAGAGAAGUGGAUUUAUACCAUUUCUGAUUCUGAGUUCAGAAUUCAGAAACCAUUUCUAACAAGUUCAGAGUUCAGAAACCAUUUCUAACAAAUUCAGAGUUCAGAGAACAACUUCCAACAUAACUACACAUGACAACCAUGUACAUGCUGAUAAGAGAAGCGGAUACCCAUUCAACCCCGAAGAUCCAUCAUAAUUCAGCUCAGCUAGUGAGGAUGUACAACCACCGUGCGGCGAGCAGCCCCCAUUAUCACUCACCAUUAUUCCAAAACAAUAUUAUUCUAGCUUGAUCAGUUCCUUCUCAGAUUUUCGACGGAAUAUCAGAGAUUGACAAGUGAAUUUAAUUUGCACUCAUUUGAUUACUCAUAUACUCCCUUUGUUCCUAAAUAUUUGUCUUUUUAGAGAUUUCAAAUGGACUACCACAUACGGAUGCAUAUAGACAUAUUUUAGAGUGUAGGUUCACUCAUUUUGCUCCGUAUGUAGUCACUUGUUGAAAUCUCUAGAAAGACAGAUAUUUAGGAACGGAGGGAGUAUUAAAAAGGGCAUACCUGGGAAUAUUGGCAUGUUAGAUGUUACAAGCAAUCAACAACAUACGUGGGCGGAGAGGCAUCGACCAAGUUGAGCUUGAAUUUUUUCUUCAGCUUCUGUGGUGAAGAUUCUGCUUGCUGUACAGGCUAUGAAUUCCACAUGACUUGUAUGGUUGUACAGUGCCACUUCCUCAUUUUCCUCGGACACAUCACUUCCAACAAGACUUGGAGUCCAGCAUUUGUCUUAACCGCAAUUUGACACUGAAACCUUAUUUUUACCACCAGGCAACAGCACGGAAUUUCCCCACACUUUGUCCUUACACUGCGCCACCGGCCACGAGUCCUUGAGCUAAAUAUUUUGUUCUAUGUACUGAAAACUGAAAAGAGAAACAUGUAGAGGAUAGCUCAAGACAAGCUGCUCCAAUUUAUUUAUGGAAUUGCCAUAACUGAAUCAGUAACAGGUAAGGACAAGUUCGCCGUAGUGCCGAGAACGCAGCUAGCUCCUCCCGUGCAGACAUUGUGUCAUUCUUCCAGCUGCUUCCUAGGAAUAACUACUGUGUCAUUCUUCCACACGCACGAGGAAAGAAAAAAGAGGAAUAGAUGGCGACACUGGAGAAGGAAAAACUGUCUGCCCAGCAGCAGCUGCCAAAGGGAAAGAAGAAAGGACACACUGAAGAUUAGUCAUCCAGUAGCAGCUUCCACCCAACUGUUGUGUGUUGAUUGAGGACAUCACAACAACGGAAGGCACGCUAGUUAAAUACUCAUAAGUAGUGUGCACGGAAUCACACCCCCCGACCAAACACAACAUGCAAACACUACACAGCAAAAUGCCAUCUUGCUCAACACCAUUGUUGUACCUCUGCCUACUGCUGGUGCCGUGCCUUCUUCUCUUGGAAGAAGCACAUGGGACACGUCAUGGAGGGAUCUCACCGAGGUCUCAACACAUGGCCCUCCUCCACUGGAAGGCUACACUUACAAGUCCACUGAUGCAGAUGAUCUCUUGGCAUAAAAACACUAGCCCCUGCAACUGGACGGGCAUCAUGUGCACGGCUGUUCGCCAUGGCCGCCGCAUGCCCUGGGUGGUGACCAACAUCUCCCUGCCGGAUGCAGGCAUCCGUGGCCAGCUCGGUGAGCUCAACUUCUCAGCUCUUCCAUUCCUCACAUCUAUUGAUCUUCAUAACAACAGUCUCCAUGGUGCACUGCCCGCUAGUAUCUGCUCCCUGUCAGCACUUUCGAUACUUGACCUUACCUACAACCAGCUCACAGGAAAAAUUCCCUAUGAGAUUGGUAACCUGCAAAGUCUCGGCUAUCUUGGUCUCUCAUUUAAUAGACUCACAGGACAUAUCCCUGUGUCUCUGGGCAACCUAACAAUGUUAAAUGUACUUGUCAUUCACCAAACCAUGGUAUCAGGUAGCAUUCCUGAGGAGAUUGGAAGGCUUGUCAACCUACAAAUUCUACAGCUAAGCAACAACACCUUAAGCGGUUUUAUACCAAAAACCUUUGGAAAUCUGACCCAACUAAAUGUUUUGCUCCUGUUUGGUAAUCAAUUUUCAGGGCCUAUACCCCAAGAACUAGGCAAGCUAGUACAUUUGCAAGGUCUUUAUCUUAAUGCAAAUGGUUUUUCAGGUCCAAUUCCAAUCUCCAUAACCAAUCUCACUAAGAUGAACACACUUUUUCUCUUUGAAAAUCAAAUCACAGGUUCAAUACCCCCAGAACUAGGCGACCUCAACAUGCUAAACAAACUUCAUCUCGAUAGAAAUCAAAUAACAGGUUCAAUACCACCAGAACUAGGGAACCUCACUAUGCUCGAUGAACUUUUUCUCCAUACAAAUCAAAUCACAGGCCCAAUACCUUCAGAAUUGGGCAUCUUGCUGAAUCUCCAGAGUUUAGACUUGUCCAGCAAUCAAAUUUAUGGCUCUAUUCCUGGCGGCUUAGGAAAUAUAAUCAAGCUAGUAUUCCUCUCCCUCUCUGAAAAUCGGAUAACUGGUUCUAUCCCCCAGGAAAUUGGAAAUCUGAUAAACCUCCAGCAUUUAAUCUUGUAUCAAAAUAAAAUUUCGGGGUCAAUACCAAAAACUUUUGGGAAGCUACAAAGCAUCCAAGGCAUGCUAAUCUUUGAUAACAAAUUAUCAGGUUCUCUUCCUCAAGAAUUUGGAGAUCUCAUUAGCCUUGUUGAACUUGGGUUAUCCAACAACUUACUUUCAGGACAUUUACCCACAAAUAUAUGUUCGGGUGGCAGACUUCGGUAUCUUUAUGUCUCUUCUAAUGAAUUCAGUGGCCCCAUUCCAAGGAGUUUAAAGACAUGUACGAGUUUGGUUCGAAUAUACCUUGGCAGGAACCAACUCACAGGAGAUAUAUCUCAGGAUUUUGGUGUGUAUCCACAACUAACAGAGAUGAUCUUGUCAUCGAAUAGACUCUCGGGGCAGAUCUCACAAAAUUUAGGUGCAUGUAACCAGCUAAUGGUACUGCGUCUCCAACAAAAUUUGAUCACAGGUUCCAUACCUCCUAUCAUUUCUAAAUUGUCCAACCUAGUAGAACUAUCACUAGAUUCUAAUCAUCUCAGCGGUGAGAUUCCACAAGAAAUCUGCACUUCAGCAAACAUAUAUAGACUGAACUUAUCAUCGAACCAGUUAUCUGGAUCCAUACCCACACAGAUAGAAAAGCUAAGCAAUCUUGGAUACCUUGAUAUAUCUGGGAACAGACUGAGUGGGUUAAUACCUGAGGAACUAGG
rnacentral:lncRNA from 1 species